rnacentral:rRNA from 1 species
GUUGUUGCAGUUAGAACGCUCGUAGUCGGAUUUCGGGGCGGGCCGACCGGUCUGCCGAUGGGUAUGCACUGGCCGGCGCGUCCUUCCUUCCGGAGACCGUGCCUACUCUUAACUGAGCGGGGGCGGGAGACGGGACUUUUACUUUGAAAAAAUCAGAGUGUUUCAAGCAGGCAGCUCGCUCUUGCAUGGAUUAGCAUGGGAUAAUGAAAUAGGACUUUGGUGCUAUUUUGUUGGUUUCGAACACCGAAGUAAUGAUGAGAAGGGACAGUCAGGGGCACUCGUAUUUUGCCGAGAGAGGUGAAAUUCUCAGACCAGCGAAAGACGAACCACUGCGAAAGCAUUUGCCAGGGAUGUUUUCACUGAUCAAGAACGAAAGUUAGGGGAUCGAAGACGAUCAGAUACCGUCGUAGUCUUAACCAUAGACCAUGCCGACUAGGGAUUCGACGAUGUUCACUUAUUGACUUGUUGAGCACCUUACGGGAAACUAAAGUCUUUGGGUUCCGGGGGGAGUAUGGUC